GCAACUCCGCAGCGCCCGGAGCCGCUCCAUCCCCGGGCCGAGCCCCCGCUCCGCUCCAGCGGGGAGCUGCGGUGCUCCGCGCCCCGUGGAAAGAGGAGGAGGAGAAGACUGCAGCCCCGGGCCGGCGCGAGGCCUCCCGCCUGUCCUGCCCGCCGGCCGCCGCCGUAACUCCGAUUUGGCCCCACACAGCUUCCAUGGUGAUACUAUAACAUCUGGACUCCUUCACAGCCCUUGGUCCACUGUCAGGAACAGCCAGUGACAGACAUCGGGACUAAAGCAACAGCAGUGACCCGAGUUAUUUUGGAAGUUACAGCCCAACAUAUAAGAUUUCAUGCGGUGGCUCUGAUGACAAAAAACAAAUUUACCACAUGGAAUCUCACAACAUAUUGUGCGGUAACUCAGAAAAUAACUUGGGUUACUGUAGCACAUACAUAUAUAAUACACAUUAACGGUAUUUAUAGACACUGAUCUAUUAAGUCAUUUCCCUACACUACCUUCAGACCUUCUGUAUGAAGCUGAAAAGCCAUCAUUAAAGCUAUGGUUUGCCAGACAAUUACUUUGUCAAAUCUCAAGAAAUUGCAUAAUAAAUUGUAUACAUGCAUCAAACAUGAACAGCAGAAGGGUAUAACAAGCAGAGAAUUUCCAGUCCACUUGUUCAUUCAUCUGAACAGUAGCUUUUGUUUUGAAAAGUAAUCCUAUAUUCUUUUCAAGGCAUAAAAUGUGCAUAUACAUUUAUCUAUCAAACUAAGUAGAAAUAAUUGAAACACUUAAUAUGCACAGUAAUAAAGAAACGCACGAACAGCUUCAUUAUUAAUGUCUAUUGAUUAUUUAUGUUUUCAAAUAGGCAAAUGUAGCUACUAAUAUUUUAUUGUGUUAAUCUAUAUGUGCUUUUUGGCUUUACCUGUUUAUUGGCAAAUUUACUGUCCACAUUAUGGGUAUUUUUAUUGCUGUACACUCAUUUGCUACGUGCAAAACUGAGGUCAGUUUACGAACUGACGGUGUUUACUCAGUUUGAUUACUAUGUAACAUUGCUGAGACAAUUCCCCCUUUGGAAAAUUAACUGUACAAGGAAGCCCUGUAAAUCUUUACUUAAAAAUUCCAAACUUUAGAUUGAUUUCAGCAGUGGGUCUGUAUUGAUCCAAAAAGCUUUGCGUUCCUAACUAAAAACUAAUCUUUAUUUCACCCUUUAGUGACUGCAGCCAUAAAUAUGUUCACUCGCACUGGAGUUUAGUGGAUUAAUGGUUAUUGGAGAUUGUGGCUUCCAACUGAGGCUGGUAAACCUUAACCUUUGGAGGACAACACGAAGGCAUUUACCCCUUGUCAUCUAUAACAGCCAGGUCCAUUUCUGACAGUUACCUGAGUGUUAAAGAGGAGACAGAGUAGGGGACGGGAAAUAAAGCACCAGAGGCUCACUUUAGCUAUUAAUCAUUUAUUAGUCCGACUUCUGUAUCUGGACCUGACACUUUUUCUGAUGCAAAGUCAUUGAAAUGAGACAAUUUGUUUCAUGUAUGAUACAAGGACUCUAAA